rnacentral:tRNA from 1 species
GUGUUCGUGGUGUAGUGGUCAGCACGUUCGGCGAAUAUUCGAGAGGUCCGUGGUUCGAGUCCCGGCGAGGGCG